GUAGGUGGCAAGCGUUGUCCGGAAUUAUUGGGCGUAAAGCGCGCGCAGGCGGUUCUUUAAGUCUGAUGUGAAAGCCCACGGCUCAACCGUGGAGGGUCAUUGGAAACUGGAGAACUUGAGUACAGAAGAGGAAAGCGGAAUUCCACGUGUAGCGGUGAAAUGCGUAGAGAUGUGGAGGAACACCAGUGGCGAAGGCGGCUUUCUGGUCUGUAACUGACGCUGAGGCGCGAAAGCGUGGGGAGCAAACAGGAUUAGAUACCCUGGUAGUCCACGCCGUAAACGAUGAGUGCUAAGUGUUAGGGGGGUCUCCGCCCCUUAGUGCUGCAGCUAACGCAUUAAGCACUCCGCCUGGGAGUACGGCCGCAAGGCUG
rnacentral:rRNA from 1 species